rnacentral:ncRNA from 1 species
UGCGUAUUUUGCGGAAGGGGAACUCGACCGCCGCUUCAGGCCAUGACGCGCUUCAUCGAUGAGCACCGGCAGGCAUAUGGUGUCGGGUCAAUCUGCAGGGUUCUGCCGAUUGCGCCA